AUUGAACGCUGGCGGCAGGCCUAACACAUGCAAGUCGAACGAGUGGCGGACGGGUGAGUAAUGCCUGGGAAACUGCCCGAUGGAGGGGGAUCACUAAUGGAAACGGUAGCUAAUACCGCAUACCAUCAGAUGUGCCCAGAUGGGAUUAGCUUGUUGGGGGGGUAACGGCUCACAAAGGCGACGCUCCCUAGCUGGUCUGAGAGGAUGACCAGCAACACUGGAACUGAGACACGGUCCAGACUCCUACGGGAGGAAUCAGUGGGGAAUAUUGCACAAGGGGCGCAAGCCUGAGGCAGCCAUGCCGCGUGGAUGAAGAGGGCCUUCGGGUUGAAAAGUACUUUCAGCGGGGCGGCGUUACCCGCAGAAGAAGCACCGGCUAACUCCGUGCCAGCAGCCGCGGUAAUAC
rnacentral:rRNA from 1 species